rnacentral:rRNA from 1 species
CGCCUUCGGAUUUUGAUCGUAAGGUUCUGCCUGCCCGGUGACCCUAAGGGUUAAACGGCUGCAGUACUCUGACUGUGCAAAGGUAGCAUAAUCAUUAGCCUGUUAAUUGCAGGCUCGUAUCAACGGCUAGACGACAGAGAGACUGUCUCUCUCUAUUUUUCCUAAACUUAACAUUAAGGUGAAGAGGCCUUAAUUAAAGAGUGGGACGAGAAGACCCUAUUGAGCUUUACUCUUUUUAUUAAAAUUAAAGUAAUAAAAUGAGUUUGGUUGGGGCAACCGCCUUUUAAUAAGAAAAAGGUAAAUACUUUAAUGGUUUAAACCUUUUACUUGACCCAAAAUUAUUUUGAGCAAUAGAAUAAGUUACCUUAGGGAUAACAGCGUAAUUUCUUUUGAGAGUACACAUUGACAAAGAAGUUUGCGACCUCGAUGUUGGAUCAGGAAUUCCUGAAUGUGCAGCAGCCUUCAAGGGUUGGUUUGUUCAACCAUAAAAAUCCUACGC